ACACAAUCAGCAUGCAAACAGACACAUUUUAGUAUUGCAUACGGAACCCAAAAAAUAAAUCUCUUUCCGUCCUAUUUUCCCUAAAUCCUUGACUAACUUAACCUUAUUCCCCAACCGGUGACCUAAACCCCUAAAUAUAACCUCUAAGGCUAAAGUAAGCUUUUUCCUCAAGGAAACUGGCAAAAAGGAUGAAUAUUUAUUGCUUUACCACUUAUAGGUUAUACAGACAUUCAGAACUACCUAUACCUGAGUCUCCUCAUUGUCUCCUUUUUGUCUUCCAAUAGAGAGAUUUGGUGUUUCACUACCCAGGGCAGAGUGCAAUGUCCUGGUGUUAAGCUGCUCCAGGCUGAACUGGGUGAUGACCCCGGUGUGAUCUGGGUCCAGCAGGAGCAACAAUUCCCUGACCUGGGCUGGGCUCAGAAAGGGUCCAGGGACAUUGCAGCCAGACCAGGGGCCCAGCAGGUCACCCCGGUAACCCUGGGGGACUUCCAGAGCCCGACAAAAGUCAGCAUGGGUGAUCUUACCAUUUCUACCCUAUGAACCGCGCAAACACGCAAGAGAAUGCAAAAACCGCGUCGCAGGUGUCAUAGAGAUGGAUUGGCGCAGUUCUAUAACUGACCCUGUUGACUCCUCCCGCUAUUGUUUCUGAUUGGAUGGACAUACGGUCAAGAACUUUCCUGACAAAAUGUGUUACAUCCAAGGACGCAGGAGUGACUCUGAUAUUG
rnacentral:lncRNA from 1 species